rnacentral:rRNA from 1 species
GACGAACCGUCCCAAACGUUGUUUCGGAAUCACUGGGCUUAAAGGGCGCGUAGGCGGAUGCCCAAGUCGGUGGUGAAAUCGUCCGGCCCAACCGGACAAGUGCCGCCGAUACUGGGGAUCUCGAGGGAGGUAGGGGUCGAGGGAACUUCCGGUGGAGCGGUGAAAUGCGUAGAUAUUGGGAGGAAUACCAGUGGCGAAGGCGGCCUUCUGGACGGAUACUGACGCUGAGGCGCGAAGCCAGGGAGCAAACGGG